ACUUCACUAUUCAAUUACAUUUGAUCAACUAAACACAGAGAAGGGUGCAUUUGAGCAAUAAACAUUUGGUAACUAAAAAUAAAUUACUCUAAUUUCAAAUAAAUUUAUUCUCUCUAAAUCCUUCAUUUUCUUCAUAGUCUGAGUCAGAUAUAAUCUCCAAUGUAAUUUACUGAUUAAUUGUAAACAAUUCAGUUAUAGGGUUCUUUUAUCUUGUUACUUUGUCAAUGAUCAAUAUUGAAAUAUUUUUUUUUUGGUUUUUGUAACAAAACAUAUAGAGUAAAAUACAUAUACUCAUAACUUUUGAAUUUAUCAACAGUGUAAUGGUACAAUACUGUAUUUUAUACACAACAAAGUGUGGAGCUGGUAUCUUCUACGCAGAUUUAACAAUCUUGCCAUGAAUGUUGUGAUUUUAACAUGUAUAACUUUUGAUAUUACAGCAUUAUUUACUGUUUAUUUCUGUGCUUCAUGAUUUUUACAAGUAUAUAUUUAUUAAAAAUGAUUCC
rnacentral:sRNA from 1 species